UACGGUAUUGAAGGUCGCUAUGCCACA
rnacentral:piRNA from 1 species